rnacentral:rRNA from 1 species
GUAGGUGGCAAGCGUUGUCCGGAAUUAUUGGGCGUAAAGCGCGCGCAGGCGGUUCGUUUAAGUCUGAUGUGAAAGCCCACGGGCUCAACCGUGGAGGGUCAUUGGAAACUGGAGAACUUGAGUACAGAAGAGGAAAGCGGAAUUCCACGUGUAGCGGUGAAAUGCGUAGAGAUGUGGAGGAACACCAGUGGCGAAGGCGGCUUUCUGGUCUGUAACUGACGCUGAGGCGCGAAAGCGUGGGGAGCAAACAGGAUUAGAUACCCUGGUAGUCCACGCCGUAAACGAUGAGUGCUAAGUGUUAGGGGGGUUUCCGCCCCUUAGUGCUGCAGCUAACGCAUUAAGCACUCCGCCUGGGGAGUACGGCCGCAAGGCUG